rnacentral:rRNA from 1 species
GGGGGGGGGGGGGGGGGGGGGGGGGGCGUGCGGGUCGGGCGGGCGCGGGGGAGGGGGGUGCGCGUACGGGUGGCGGGGGGCGGCCGGGUGAGGCAUACAUCGGAAUCUACUUUUUCGUGGGGGAUACCGUAGUGCACGUUACGCUAAUACCGCAUACGACCUACGGGUGAAAGCAGGGGCUCUGCGUACCUUGCGCGAUUUGAUGAGCCGAUGUCGGAUUAGCUAGUUGGCGGGGUAAAGGCCCACCAAGGCGACGAUCCGUCGCUGGUCUUAGAGGAUGAUCAGCCACACUGGAACUGAGACACGGUCCAGACUCCUACGGGAGGCAGCAGUGGGGAAUAUUGGACAAUGGGCGCAAGCCUGAUCCAGCCAUACCGCGUGGGUGAAGAAGGCCUUCGGGUUGUAAAGCCCUUUUGUUGGGAAAGAAAAGCAGCAGGUUAAUACCCCGCUGUUCUGACGGUACCCAAAGAAUAAGCACCGGCUAACUUCGUG